rnacentral:rRNA from 1 species
AUUGAACGCUGGCGGCAGGCUUAACACAUGCAAGUCGAGCGAGCGGCGGACGGGUGAGUAAUGUCUGGGAAACUGCCCGAUGGAGGGGGAUAACUACUGGAAACGGUAGCUAAUACCGCAUACCAUCAGAUGUGCCCAGCUGGGAUUAGCUAGUAGGUGGGGUAAUGGCUCACCUAGGCGACGAUCCCUAGCUGGUCUGAGAGGAUGACCAGCCACACGGGAACUGAGACAGGGUCCAGACUCCCAGGGGGGGCAGCAGGGGGAAAUAUUGCACAAUGGGCGCAAGCCGGAUGCAGACAUGCCGCGUGUGUGAAGAGGGCCUUCGGGUUGUAGAGCACUUUCAGCGGGGAGGCGUUACUCGCAGAAGAAGCACCGGCUAACUCCGUGCCAGCAGCCGCGGUAUUC